rnacentral:lncRNA from 1 species
GCACAACCUGGGUUCAAAGCCUGGCUGGACCAUGACCACCUGGAUGACCUAAGGAACGGUCUCAGGCAAAUUUGUAAGAAGAAGUGGAGACCCUGCCUGCCAGGAAGGGAUGUGGUCUCAACCACGCCAUCGGCAACCUGCUCUUCUAAGCGUAUGUUGUUACUGCUUCCACCGCAUGACCCAGCAACACCACCGGCAAUGUUCUCGUCUAAGCAUAUGUUGUCCCUGCUUCCGCAGCAGGUCCCGGCCACACCAUCGGCGACAUUCUCUUCUAAGCGUAUUUCGUCCCCGGUUCCGCCGCAGGUGCCGGCUAUGCCAUCGGCGACUUACUCUUCUAAGCGUAUUUUGUUCCUGGUUCCGCCGCAGGUUCCGGCCACGCGAUUGGCAACGUGCUCUUCUAAGCGUAUUUUGUUCCUGGUUCCACCACAGGUCCCCGCCAUACCAUCAGCAACCUGCUCGUCUUGUCCGUGAGGCCUUCCCAGCUGGCUGGGCUCACCCCAUGGCUCCUGCACCUGUGCCUGCCCUGGGAACCUUGGGCUGUUACCGAUUCCUCUUCAACCCUCGGCAACAUCUUGGGCCUUCUUUUCCAGCCAGGCGGUAUGGCGCCCCUAGGAGGCUGUGUUUUCUCCCUCAGAACACGGGCACCCCACUGAGGGUCCUGCCUUCUGUGUUCUGGAGCCCCCCCUCAAGGAAGAAACCCGUGCUGUCUGCUCGCAACUCCAGGAUGUUUGGACACCUCAGCCCCGUGAGGAUCCCUCAUCUCAGAGGCAAGUUUAACCUCAGACUUCCUUCAUUAGAUGAGCAGGUGAUCCCAGCCAGGCUUCCGAAGAUGGAGGUGAGGGCAGAAGAGCCCAAAGAAGCAACGGAGGUCAAAGACCAGGUAGAGACCCAGGAGCAGGAAGACAAUAAAAGGGGCCCCUGUAGCAAUGGGGAAGCAGCCUCCACCUCUAGGCCCCUGGAGACUCAGGGAAACCCCACUUCCCCCCGGUACAAUCCCAGGCCCUUGGAGGGAAAUGUCCAGCUCAAGAGCUUGACAGA